GGCAACCCACUCCAGUGUUCUUGUCUGGAGAAUCCCAGGGACAGUGGAGCCUGGUGGGCUUCCGUCUGUGGGGUCGCACAGAGUCAGACACGACUGAAGUGACUUAGCAGCAGCAGCAGAUGGAUCAAUACUGACUCCCUAUGGAGUAAAUAUUAUGAUUUAAAAAGAGUAUUUGCCAUUUGUACAAAAGGAAAACAUACAACUUUUAAAAGUUUGAAUUGAUGAUAGGAAAAGAAGUGGUGGAAUAAAAGUUGUUUCUGCCCUGAAUGACAGAGCUCUAGUAUGUCCUCUUAUCUUGGAAAGAAGCUAUCUCUGUCCAACUCAUGAUCAUGCACUAUGAGAAACUUGCCAAUCUACCUAAUGAUAAAACUACUUACUACUCAAUCUUGCUCAUCACUACUCGUCCAAAUACAUUAGUUUUCAAAUGUACUAAAGGGAACCCAUAUGAGCUAAUAUGAAUAGGCUUGAGAGUGUCAUUUAGAGAAUUUGAUUGCUUCAUGGAGGAAGGCCAUAUUCCAUUUACCCUAUUGGCUCCAACUGAAGCUGUUUUAGUACAAAAGGAAAAUUUUAAAAUGAAAAUAAGACUUCAUAUAGCUAGUCAGGCAUAUUUUGAGGGAGUGAUCAAAAUAGACCUGCAUUUUUAAAAAGAUAGCAUAGGAGAUUUGAACAGAAUGAACAAGGACAAAAUUCUAGUGAUCUGGAAGAACAAAAGGAGAAAAUGAAGAAUUGGAGUGAACUGCUAGACAAAACCUAGUGUGUGAAAACAGGAGUAACUUUUAGAAAUGAAAGGAGUAGAUGUAAGGGAAACCAUAUUCAAAAGAGUAACAGGCAAAAACUCACCUGAACCAAGGGUCGACAGAGGAUGAGGUGGUUGGAUGGCCUCACCGACUCAAUGGACAUGAGUUUGAGUAAACUCUGGGAGUCGGUGAUAGACAGGGAGGCCUGGCGUGCUGCAGUCCAUGGGGUCACAGAGUCAGACACGACUGAGCGGCUGAACUGAACACUUGAACCAAAGAAAAACUCAAGUUAUCAAAAUGAAAGCACAUCACAAGGAUGGGGUAGAAUAAAUGUUUUAUUACUUAUAUAAAUUUAUAUACAUAUGUUGAAUGUAUAGAUAUAUCUGGCUAAAAUAUCUGUACUCAGUUGGGGAAGAGAAAAUGUUAACACCUUUCCAGUAUAGAAGUGAUGGUUUGUAAAGGAAAGAGCAUCAUGAUGUCACUUGUGUACUUUUCCAGUUUUCCAGCUUAGUGCGGAGGGAAAGGGUCCUAACACUCAUGGGAAUUUGGUUUCCUAGAAAUGGACCAUCUUUCUUUUUUUUUUUUUUUUGUAAUGUAUUUAUCUCUCAUGUUUGUAAUUAUAUAAAUACUGAAGUUACUGUGAUUAUGGAAUGUGGUAAGCUUCCAAUCUUUCAUAUUGGAAAGCCAGGGUGCCCAAGUGGAAACCUAAAUAUUUCUGUAGGAAGUUUGCCUUUAUUCAUUAUUUUUUUUUAUUACAGCCUUUUUUGGUGAAGUGAUUUAUUUACAUGUUUUUUUUUUAAAGUUUCUGUCCUAUUAACUGUCUUGAUGCCUAACUGAGGGCAUUCAGAACUGAUAAUCAGUAGGCUUUUCUAUUUAAUGCUGGAGGAACAAGCUGCUUAUGAUGACCCAACAGAGACAUGAGGAAGGUUUGUGAAAGGGGUGUAUUCAUCCUGCUCUAAUCCUUGUUUUCAGAAAGACAGUGCCUUUAAGUGUUCUCUAAUUAGUGAAUAGAUAUGGUUGUAAAUUCUUGUAGACACCUCUUUUGUAGGACAGAGAUGGAUGCCUGGCUUGUUUAAAUCUUUGUUUUACUUUUAAGUGAAAUUUUGAUAUUGAACAUUUGACAAUGGAGAAUAGGAAAAGUAACUUUAUACAUAUAAUUAUUCCUUUUUUAUUAGUAUGCUCCAUUGUGAUCUUUCUUUUUUAACAUCAUCACAAUUAGAAACUUGAAUAUCAUAUGAGAUGAUCACGGCAAAAUAAAAGCAGGGUUUUCUGUUUUGUCUUCCUGCUUGGUUGUUUGCUUUGCUGAUCUUUGUGUACAUAAAAUAAUGUUUACUGCUAUGAAUUAAAUUCUUUUGGGUUUGGUGAAAUUGCUUCUACCCGUCACCUAGGAAAUGUAAGCGAGGGAACGAGACACUGAUAUUUAGGCAUACCAAGAGGAAAUAUAUUUCUUCAGUGAACUGAAUAUAAAACACGAUCAGUGAAAACACCUGGAAAUCAAAAAGAACAGAUUUUAGUUAUGCUUCUCCUUUUCAAAGAACUUAAGUACUUAGCUAUUAUUGUUAGUACUGGAGAAGUAAGUUGGCACUGUCAUUUGAAAUAUGAUAAAUAAAAGCCUGUCGAAUGUCUGCUUCUACUUUUAGCACUUGUCUGAUUCCUUCUCCAGGAAUUGCAUCAUGGAAACUACCUAAGAAUUAAUGGGAGUCAAAUAUACAGCCUUAUUUGUUGUAAUAAAUGUAUUCUCUAUCACUGUGUAAUGAUAAAGCCAUAGUUAUUGAAACUACCAAAGUUAUUGAAACAGAGGGAUAGGAGCUUUUUGCCUUUAUCACCUGUAUUAUUAAUUGGAGAUAAUUACUGCAGAGCAGCUGGCUGUUGGUUUUAGGGAGCAUCAAUUGUUCUUCUCACCCAGCUGUUGGCUAAUAAGGAUAGUCAACACAUCUGUUUCAACAGCUGGUAAUUAACAAAAGCCUAAUUGCUGCAACUCUUUUAACAUCCAAUCUGUGAAAAAGAAGGGAUGUAGAGGAAUAUUAUUUACUUUGUGCUUUGCACUCUCUGAGACCAGUUUCUCUUUUCUCUCUCCCUCCACUUUUUUCCCCUUACUUUGAACACCACUGCCUUUGUAUGAAGCAUUGAAUGGCAGGAGAACACAAUAUGGUAGUACCAGAGAGAGCAAGCUUAGAGAAAGGAAUGUAUCAUGCCAUGAAAAAGGAGAAUGGACGUUUUGGAGGGAACUCACAUUCCAGCUGAUGCUUUAAGUGUUUCCUUGCAUAUAGAUUUUUUUCCAGAGAAAAUAACUUCAAGAACAAGUGGUGUGAUAGACAGGAAAUCAAUAAUUUAAUGGAUAUUCUCUGAAGACUGUGACUACUGCUUGAUUAACCUGUUUUCUAAAAAAGCAAAUCUCAUUUAAUGAUGAAUAGAUUUCUUAGUGAAGCCAGUGAGGUGGUCAGUGGUUUUAUAUGUAUCAGUAUAAAUGACUUUCAGAGGUAUGGUCAAGAAGUCCUGGGAGCCAGAUAUCUAAUGGGAUCUAACUGGCAACAAAUUUAAGGUCAAGGUAGUAUCUUCUAAGAGUUCAUUCAGUGGAAAAGAUAGAGCCUCCAUAGUCUGAAUUCAUGGACAAAUGCUUCAAAAUAAAUAUGUUGAAUUACUUAUGGCUUUAAAAUUGAAUAUCAUACACUAAAAUUAAAAAUACAAAAAGAAUAACUUUAAAUGACAGUGAACAGAAAAAGAGAGAAAUUGGAGUAAACUAUGUUCUUUAUUGUCAUCCCAAUAGGAUAUAAUGGCUUCUUUAAAGUUGGAGAAGAGGUUGGCAAAGUAGUUAAUGCAUAAACUCAGCAUUGUUUAUUGAAUAGGUAGUUAAGAAUUCUGUACUCAAAUUCUGGUUCUGACACUAACCUUUAUUUAUAACCUUAAAAACUGAGAGAGUUUAAGUAAAUAAUUUCCUAACAAGCAGUUCUUUCACCCCAAGAAAUUUUUUUUCCAGAAGGAUUCACAUUGUUAAGUGUGGUUAGGGGAAUGUUUCAAUUUCUGCUUUUCAACAUUUUAUCAA